rnacentral:rRNA from 1 species
UACGUAGGGUGCAAGCGUUGCCCGGAUUUAUUGGGCGUAAAGAGCUCGUAGGCGGUCUGUCGCGUCGGCUGUGAAAUCCCGGAGCUCAACUCCGGGUCUGCAGUCGAUACGGGCAGACUGGAGUUCGGCAGGGGAGACUGGAAUUCCUGGUGUAGCGGUGAAAUGCGCAGAUAUCAGGAGGAACACCGGUGGCGAAGGCGGGUCUCUGGGCCGAUACUGACGCUGAGGCACGAAAGCGUGGGGAGCAAACAGG